rnacentral:rRNA from 1 species
CCUACGGGUGGCAGCAGUGAGGAAUAUUGGUCAAUGGGCGCGAGCCUGAACCAGCCAAGUCGCGUGCGGGAUGACGGCCCUAUGGAUUGUAAACCUCUUUUGUCCGGGAGCAAAAGACGCCACGCGUGGCGUUCUGAGAGUACCCGAAGAAAAAGCACCGGCUAAUUCCGUGCCAGCAGCCGCGGUAAUACGGAGGGUGCGAGCGUUAUCCGGAUUUAUUGGGUUUAAAGGGUGCGUAGGCGGAAGAUCAAGUCAGCGGUAAAAUUGAGAGGCUCAACCUCUCCGAGCCGUUGAAACUGGGUUUCUUGAGUGAGCGAGAGGUAUGCGGAAUGCGUGGUGUAGCGGUGAAAUGCAUAGAUAUCACGCAGAACUCCGAUUGCGAAGGCAGCAUGCCGGCGCUCGACUGACGCUGAUGCACGAAGGUGUGGGUAUCGAACAGGAUUAGAUACCCCGGUAGUC